ensembl:lncRNA
GCGCCGUGGUAAUGCUGCACCAUAGGCACUUCUGGCGGACCAUGCAAAUGGCAGGAUUCGGAGGGAGAGGGUAUUUAGGGACCAUAACGAUUUAUUGGUGGCCAUACGUGCGCUCGGCUUCGAGCCCAAGAAGGAGGAGAUCAAGAAGAUGAUUGCCGACAUCGACAAGCACGGAUGAUCGACUUCAACGACUUCCUCAGCAUGAUGACCCCCAAGAUGCGAUGGCGGCGGCGGUGCCACAUUCAGGGAUGGAGGGGAGAAAACUUUCAGAGACGCAGGGCCUGCUCAGGUCCUUCUACACCAUCGGCAGCCCCCAGAGUGACGGAUCCCAUCCGUCGCUGAAUAUCAAGCUGGGAUGCUGCGAAGCGGCGCUCACCUGUUUCCACGACAACCUUAAGAACGUCACGGCGCAGCACGAGAUAGCGUCGGGCAUGCAAUUGUUCAGCAGUCUGAAAAACUCAAACCUGAGGAAGGCUGUCCAGUGCAAAGACCCUGGCCCCGCCCCGGAUCAUUCCUGCCCAGCCUGCGAUUCUUUCCCCAGGACGAAGGCGGAGCUUGUCAACCAGCUGUCCCAGUUCCUCGAAAAGGCAGCGAGCAGCUUGUCUACAAAAAGACGGGGAUGAAUCCACCAACUAGGACGCAGCUGAACCCACCAAUCCGGACGCAGCUGAACCCAUCAGACCUCAUCUACAUUCAAAUUUUUAUUUAAGAGCAGCUCACAAUAAUGUAUUCCCAUUAACAGGCCAUAGAUCUUAUUCAUAUGAAUAUUUAUUUUCUUUGUAUUAACUGAUUUACUUAUUUAAUAUUUAUUAAUUUAUUAUUUAUUCAUUUAUUUAUACAGAGUGUGUGGACACUUGGUUAUUGGUUCUUAAAGAACCUAUGAUUUGCUACCGUUCAUGGUAAUUUAUUUAUUUACAAAUAAAAUUAUUUUUAUUUAAUAAAAAUGCCUUUGUCUUGUUUUUGAUACUGAGUCACAUGAUGAAUCUGCUUCUGCCUUAUUAUUAUUUCACCAUUUAAAUUGCUAAUAUUUCCC